AUGACACCAUUAGACACUGGAGGAGCUCAUGACUGGCCUGGGGCCAAUUCUCUGAUGCCAGUAACGGCGGUUUAUGCUCCUCCUGUGUCCAUAGUGGCCGGGAGCCAAGACUUCAGUUAUCAUAACACAGAUAGUGCUGAAGUCAAAGCUGCCUCGCCACAUUGUCCUGUGGGUAAUUCGACAUCAGCUGCAGAGGGGGUUGUGCCAUUCUCUGGAGUAGGCACAAGGGGGGGUCAGAUGCUGGAGGACGACAUCAGCCACCGAACGCACCACAGCAUCCAGCGAGGUUCAGCUGUAGAGUCUGAGGUCUCCGAGCAGACCAGCGAUGCUCCUAAAGAGAGCACCAAGACGGGAUGGUUUAGUGGUUGGUUUAAAUCAAAGCCCAAGGAAGCCCAGGAGACUUCAGAGCAGAUCAGACCUGCUAAAACAAUUCCACCUGCUGCUGACCUCUGCCCUCCUCCCCCGCCGACCAUCGCACCCUCUGGCAUGUUUCCAUCCCAGCCCUCCUCCGCUGGAAUCAAUCCCUUCUCAAGAAAAGCAGGCCAGCAACUGGGAUAGACACCAUUUCAACACCACUAGACUAUAUUACAGGAUCGCUGGCACCACUAAAGUCCAAAAUGGGACGUCGCACCACCUGUCAUGAACACAACCUACACUGCGUGUCUUAUUAGAAUUCACCUGAGCUCACAUGAACUCCAGUAUGAUCUGUACCUCUCACCACUGCCCACUUUUCUUUUUUAAGAUCGCCCUUUCAAACCCCUCCACAGCUUACCCGCCAUCAUGUUGCAUGUUAGCUACAGAAAUACACUGGAUGGACAGGCGAAGUAACUCGUAUUGCAUCGACUAAAACAGCUGAGGUAUGCUUCCUGUAAGCUGACUGCAGGGAAAUUACAAGUGGAUGCAGGACAUAUCUGGGGAUGGGGAUAUCCUAAUUGACCCCAAUAUAAUAUAAUAUUUAUAUAGGACAGAGUGACCUGAUUGACCCCAUCAAUGCCCAAAACACAGAUUCAUACUAGUGAGGUAGAAAAAGUUUGACAUGAGCGAAUCAUUACACUUUUACACCUCAGAUCACUUCUAAAUGUGUGAUAUACUGCCAGAUAAUAUUGAUCGGCUUUGUAUUUAUAUUUGCAAAGGGUAAACCUCUCAUCUUUUCAUGAUAAAGCACACUGAAACACAAGUGAUCAAAAAUACUAAGCACCCCACGCUAUGCUAGCUUAUUCACCUCAAUGUGGGGUACUUGUUGCAUUAUACAACAGUACAGCGUGUGCCAUGUUGUCACACUGCCAAGAUGGAUCAUCGUACAUGGGGGGGGGUUGGGAUACACUUGCUCAGGCAAACAGCCAACAACCUCCCUAACCCCCCACCCUCAACAAGCAGACUUUUAUAUCACCAAACUGUUUAUGUGCUGAUGAUAUUUGCAAUGCUUUCAUCUAAAAAAGUUUAAUUAAUGGCCCUUUAUAUAAAUAUUUGGUUGCAGAUGAAGCUAAGCUAUGCUCUUAAAGUUGUAUGCAGUUUUAAGUUGUAUUAUCUACUUUUACAUUAAAUGUAUAGUAAGGAUUUUAAGAUGCUGUAUUAACUUGUGCCAAAUUUUUUUAUGAUAAUUGAGUUUGUGCCUCAAUUUUUCACGUUUUCAUUUCAAUUUUGCUGUUUUUUUGUAUAUCUGUACCAGCACAUAAAGUAUAACAAUCUCUAAAAAGCCGCAGUAUUUUGUC
rnacentral:lncRNA from 1 species